rnacentral:rRNA from 1 species
AUGCCCCGGCGGCGGCCGAGGGCCGGGGAGAAGCGGAUGGACGCCGCGAUCGACCACUUCGCCGAGAUGGGAUACCGCAAAGCCGACGUCCGCCGCGUCGUCAACAAGCUCCUCAAGGAUGUGUAUGGGAAGGAUGGGUGGCCGUUGCUGGAGGACAGUUGUUACUCCGUAGUGCAAGAAGCGCUCUUUGAGUUGGAGGAGCAGGAGAAGUUGCAGCAGCAGCAGAAUGAGGAUGAUGAUGGUGACGAUGAGGGGGAGGAAGCUCAUCUGGAGCCGCAGCAGGAGGAGGUGGAGGAGGAGGCUCCGCAGCAAGAAGUAGCAAUAAAGGAGGAACCGUCAGAAGAGUUCGUUCCCAUUGCGAUGGUUGUACCACCAUCUGAGGCUGUGGUAGCAGUUGAGCAGACGGAGGAAGCGGAAAAGGCCCCCCUGCUCAUCGACCCACCUUCUCCCAGAGCUGCGUCGCCAGAUCCGUUAGCUACAGGAACUAAGCGCAAAAGGCCCCCCUGCUACGGAUGGAUCUCUGAGUCUGAGAGUGACUCGGACUAUGAGGAAUAUGUUGCACGUCGACAGCAGCGGGUGCAGGUCCCGGCCAAGUAG